rnacentral:rRNA from 1 species
AUUGAACGCUGGCGGCAGGCUUAACACAUGCAAGUCGAGCGGAAACGAUGGUAGCUUGCUACCAGGCGUCGAGCGGCGGACGGGUGAGUAAUACUUAGGAAUCUACCUAGUAGUGGGGGAUAGCUCGGGGAAACUCGAAUUAAUACCGCAUACGACCUACGGGAGAAAGGGGGCAGUUUACUGCUCUCGCUAUUAGAUGAGCCUAAGUCGGAUUAGCUAGAUGGUGGGGUAAAGGCCUACCAUGGCGACGAUCUGUAGCUGGUCUGAGAGGAUGAUCAGCCACACCGGGACUGAGACACGGCCCGGACUCCUACGGGAGGCAGCAGUGGGGAAUAUUGGACAAUGGGGGAAACCCUGAUCCAGCCAUGCCGCGUGUGUGAAGAAGGCCUUUUGGUUGUAAAGCACUUUAAGCAGUGAAGAAGACUCCGUGGUUAAUACCCACGGACGAUGACAUUAGCUGCAGAAUAAGCACCGGCUAACUCUGUGCCAGCAGCCGCGGUAAUACAGAGGGUGCAAGCGUUAAUCGGAAUUACUGGGCGUAAAGGGGGCGUAGGUGGCUCGAUAAGUCAGAUGUGAAAUCCCCGGGCUCAACCUGGGAACUGCAUCUGAUACUGUUGAGCUAGAGUAUGUGAAAGGAAGGUAGAAUUCCAGGUGUAGCGGUGAAAUGCGUAGAGAUCUGGAGGAAUACCGAUGGCGAAGGCAGCCUUCUGGCAUAAUACUGACACUGAGGCUCGAAAGCGUGGGUAGCAAACAGG